GUCAAGGUGUAUUGUUCAGGUCUUCUAAGAAUCUGAAGGCACUCCAGAAAUAGACAUACUACCUUACACAGACGUGAAGAUAUUCAAAGGAAUUUCUCUUUGGAUACUUAUGUUUUCUCUGUAGCCAAAGGGCCUGCAGGAGUUCAGAAGAGUCAGGAGGUCCCGGAGUGUUGAAAUUUGCUCACACUUCUGUGCUUCUAGCAGUCUUUGAAGCUGAUGGGAGGUGCGGCCACUCUUAAAGAUUCUCUUGUUGAGAAAUUGAUCAUGGAGUAACACUGGAGGAGUGAUUUUCCCAAUGAAGGAUCGUCAUCUGGGCUGCCUGAUUUCUUCAAUUCAGCUGUGGAGGUCCAGCACAGAUUUGAAUACAACACUGUAAGAGGAGCAUGGAGAGGACACUGGUGUGAGAUGUCAAAAUGCUCCCGGAUCUUCUCGGGCAGCAACGUCUUGCUGUGAAAAUAAGUAAGUCA